UACGGAGGAUGCAAGCGUUAUCCGGAUUCAUUGGGUUUAAAGGGUGCGCAGGUGGGAAUGUAAGUCAGUGGUGAAAUACUGCCGCUUAACGGUAGAGCUGCCAUUGAUACUGCGUUUCUUGAGUAUGGUUGAGGUAGGUGGAAUGUGUUGUGUAGCGGUGAAAUGCUUAGAUAUUACACAGAACACCAAUUGCGAAGGCAGCUUACUAAACUGUCACUGACGCUGAUGCACGAAAG
rnacentral:rRNA from 1 species